GAUCAUGGCUCAGGACGAACGCUGGCGGCGCGCCUAACACAUGCAAGUCGAACGGAGCUUAGAGAGCUUGCUUUUUAAGCUUAGUGGCGAACGGGUGAGUAACGCGUGAGUAACCUGCCCUAGAGUGGGGGACAACAGUUGGAAACGACUGCUAAUACCGCAUAAGCCCACGGUACCGCAUGGUACUGAGGGAAAAGGAUUUAUUCGCUUUAGGAUGGACUCGCGUCCAAUUAGGUAGUUGGUGAGGUAACGGCCC
rnacentral:rRNA from 1 species